AACAGAGGAUGAUUUCAUUCAAAUUGCAUUUGGACUCAACUUGACAGGAUUUAUAGCCUACAUCUCAAGUAACUGAUCUUAAAAGCUUGCAGAAAAUGAAUAAUAGCAAGUCCAAAUAAAUCCAGAUAUUUCAAUUUACCAGUCUAAAGUUGACUUUCAGUCAGUGCUUGAACUUUAAAAUAAUGAACUUAUUGUUGUGUCACAAUCAUAUCGGAGUUUCUAUUGGUCUAAAGCUAACGUGGGUGGGAGUAAUGAACAUGAUAUGCUUUGUUUUACUGCUGCAAAUCCUCAUCUGUAUACAUUAUAUGCACUUUUCAAUGAUACAGCACAGUUUUAUAAU